GGCCCCCCCACCCCCCCGGGAAAUCCCCCCCCCCCCCAGGGGGGUUUAAUGGUGUUGCCGCUGAAAAAAAAGCGGGGGAGGGGGUUUUGUUUAUAAUUUAUUAUAAAAAUUUUUUUGAAAAAUUUUUAUUAUAAUAUCAACAUUCUCCAUAUUAUUUUUUUUUUUAGUAUAUGAAAUUUUACUUUGAGAAAAUUAGAGUGCUUAAAGCAGGCAUAUGCCUUGAAUACUCCAGCAUGGAAUAAUAUUAAAGAUUUUUAUCUUUUUUAUUGGUUCUAAGAUAAGAAUAAUGAUUAAUAGGGACAGUUGGGGGCAUUUGUAUUUAACAGUCAGAGGUGAAAUUCUUAGAUUUGUUAAAGACAAACUAAUGCGAAAGCAUUUGCCAAGGAUGUUUUCAUUAAUCAAGAACGAAAGUUAGGGGAUCGAAGACGAUCAGAUACCGUCGUAGUCUUAACCAUAAACUAUGCCGGUUAGAGAUGGAAGGCG
rnacentral:rRNA from 1 species